AUUGAACGCUGGCGGCAGGCCUAACACAUGCAAGUCGAGCGGAUGAAGGGAGCUUGCUCCUGGAUUCAGCGGCGGACGGGUGAGUAAUGCCUAGGAAUCUGCCUGGUAGUGGGGGAUAACGUCCUGAAACGGGCGCUAAUACCGCAUACGUCCUGAGGGAGAAAGUGGGGGAUCUUCGGACCUCACGCUAUCAGAUGAGCCUAGGUCGGAUUAGCUAGUUGGUGGGGUAAAGGCCUACCAAGGCGACGAUCCGUAACUGGUCUGAGAGGAUGAUCAGUCACACUGGAACUGAGACACGGUCCAGACUCCUACGGGAGGCAGCAGUGGGGAAUAUUGGACAAAGGGCGAAAGCCUGAUCCAGCCAUGCCGCGUGUGUGAAGAAGGUCUUCGGAUUGUAAAGCACUUUAAGUUGGGAGGAAGGGCAGUAAGUUAAUACCUUGCUGUUUUGACGUUACCAACAGAAUAAGCACCGGCUAACUUCGUG
rnacentral:rRNA from 1 species